rnacentral:lncRNA from 1 species
GGAGGCAGGUUCCUAGGUGGGAAGGGGUGGGUCCCUGUUGAAACCCCACCUUCAAGCCAAGGACAGCCUGAAGCCUGGGGGCCAGGCUGCCAGUUUUAGGUAGAGCCCACAACCCAGACCGAGAACUCUAUUAAUGCAUUUUGGCCAAUUGGAUGGUGCUUUUUCCAGGCCCACUCUUCCUCCAUUCUGAGCACAUAAAAACCCCAGACUCAGCCAAACUUGAUACUCAUCAGGACAACCUGCCUGCAGAAGGGACCACUUGGGGUCUCCUGAGUGCUGUUCUGUCAUUCAAUAAAGCUCCUCUCUGCCUUGCUCACCCUAUAGUUGUCCAUGUAACCUUAUUCUUCCUGGACACAGGACAAGAACUCAGGACCUGCUGAACAGUGGGAGCGAAAGGAGCUGUAACAUGUUCCUGGCUGGCUUGCCAAGCUGUAGGUGGUGACACGCUCCCAGACUGCAGAAGAGAAGAGUGGUGACCCUUCUGGGGACCCAGACCUUGGGAUUCCCCGAGCUAGAGAAUGCUAUAACAUUAUAGCCUUCUUGCCUUUCACCGGCACCAGACAGCUGCCCCACAUGACAGGAGGCAGCAGCAGAGCCAGGCCAACUGAGGAGCCAUGGGCUGGAGUGGGGUGGUGGGACUGAAAGAGCUGUAACAUAAACAAACUGAAAUAACCCCCCCUUCCCCCACCAUCAGUCACCACACUGCAGGCAACAAGAAGAGCGGGAGCCCACACCUCGCGGCUCCUCAAGCCAGGGCUGUGACAUGCUCUAACACCCUCUUUGGGACUCGGAGGUUCCUGGCAACUCUGAGCUUUUGGGUUUUACCACGUUUCCCUUGCCCAGACACUGGUGCCUGCAGCAGAAGCUGGCUGUGGUCCAUCUGGUCCAGCUGCAGCCUUGCACAGAGCCGGUGCCUGUAGCUGCUUACCCUGCUGUAGCAGCCAGUGUGCCUGGCUAGGUGCAGUGGCUGGAACCUGCACUCACUUGGUCACACACCCCUCACCAGCCCAUGCCUGGCUUGCCCUUGGCAGGUAUGGGAUCCAGGCCAGCAGCACAAGAUGAACGCAGCCUGCCAGGCAGAGUGGGCAGAAUAAGCCCAGCAGACACGAGCAAAACUCCAGCAGAGGUGCUGCAGGCCAUGGAAGUUUCCAGCUGGCGAAGCGACAUCCUAAGAACCCUGUGACACUAUCCUUCUAGGUUUGCACACAUGGUUGAGGCAUGAAUUUCUAAUAAACUCAUGGUCACCUCCACCUAGCCAUCAAUAGCUACUAUUCAUUAAGUGCCCAGGCAUUUUACACUCAUCACCUUUAACUCUUUACUCAGGCAUGUGGCAAUGUCACCAUUUUAUAGAUAAGACCAUAGCCAGUAGCUAUAAAGUAUUAGGCUUGAACUUAGCAGUAGACUACAACUAUUUUCUGUUCACUUUCCUUGGCUGUUUUGAGAUGGAGUCUCACUGUGUUGCCCAGGCUGGCCCUAUACUUCUGGACUCAAGUG